UGGGCAACUCUUGAACAUAAUAAACCCACUAACUUUAUAUGGCAUUGAAUAUAUCACAACCAAUAUGAUAAUAUGCCUAUAAUUCUUUGUUUGCAUAUAAAUAAAUUAAGUAGUACAUAAAUUAAUCUUAUAAUGUACAAAUUUAUACUUUUAUGCAAUAAAACCACAUAAAAAGACCUUAUUAUAAUUAUCAAAGAAUUUU
rnacentral:lncRNA from 1 species